ACAAUUAUUAUUGAACUCUCCCUCUCUUUUCCGGGGGGUGGAGGUUCUCUAACACUUGUGUGCACUGUUUAUUGUCUCUUGGCGUUCGAGGGGGUUGGGUAAUAACCCUUACCCCCUGAGCGUCAACUUUUAAACUUGAUUUUUAUUUAUAACUAUAAGCCUUUAAUUUUAAAUUUUAUAAUUUGAAAA
rnacentral:misc_RNA from 1 species